UAUGGCUAUUUUAGUUUACUAAAUUACAACUUUAAAUUUCCCGGGAGUUUCGUCUUCGAAACGUCGUUUAAUGAUGACGUGUACGCAAGACGUCACGCGUUUUAGGAAGUAUGAGUGCUGCGCACACACAGCUAUAUGUAGUCUCCUUUAACAGCAUAAUUAUACAGUUUUUUGGACAUCUGUGUUGCUGAAUCUUUUGCAAUUUGUUCAAUUAAUAUUGGAGAAGUCACAGUAGAAAGAUGGAGUUGGGAAGCUUUAGCCUUUAGCCACACAAACACACAGUGAUUCCUUGUUUAAAAUUCCUGGAGGUGAAACUUUACUAUGGAUCAGAGCGCGGUCAAGAGAACAUGGAUCCCGACCACAUUUCAACCAGCAGGUUUCAGUGAGAAAAUUGUGGUUAAAAAGUCAGUUCUUACCGGAGAAAAGCUGAGCUUGUGCCGUCCAUAGCUGCCGUCGACUCCCCUGAGACACUGCACGUCAAGCCUCCCGUGGAGACACCCUUCCGACUAUCAGAAAGGAGGACUUUUUUUCUACUCCAUUCGAAAAUGUGGGCGUUAUCAUCACCACUGUCUGAUUCCAAUCAAUGCAAGUCAUCAAAAUCAGGAAAUAUGUCCCUGGACACAGGAGGAUUUUGAGGGCAAAAAAGUAAAGAUUUGACCUGGAACUUUUCUGAUACACCUUGCAUAUGGUCUCUGUGAAACUUGGGACACUUUCCGGCCUCAAAUCUUCGCCUUGAAGCUCGUACCACUCACGGCAGAGCAUGUCGAGGGCCAAUAAAAUGAUAACUGCGGACUGCAAAUGGCCUCCAGGCCACACUUUGGACACCACUGGACUAAAUCAUUGGGGCACAUCUCUCCUCAACCAUCAAGCUCCAGAAAGGCCUGAAUGAGAACAAGAGAGCCCCGACCUCAACCCAUAACAGAGAUGUUACAGAGAACAUAAGCAACAUGGCAAUACAUCCAAGUGCUGAAAUCCACCCCAUGAAGUCCAAAGAUCUAAAAGAUAACAGUUCUCUGAAAUGUCACAGGUUUCAGGUAAAUCACAUUGUACGAGCGGCAGAAGAAAACCACAUUAUGUGUCAGCGGUGAAGGGGAAACGUAGACUCUGGAAGACCAACACAUCCUCAAAGCAGUUCCCUUGACGACGCGUACGGGUAUGACUGCAAAGUAAAUGUUGCAUCCACUCUGUGUAAAAGAAAUCAAGUGUCAACUCAUCCAUAAUCGUGUCAGGCGGCGAGUUGACUUUGAACUAGGGUUGUACGGUAUACCGGUAUUAGUAUAGUACUGCGAUACUAAUGAAUCAUAUUCGGUACUAUACCACCUCUGUAAAGUACCGGUUUAUCCCCCAAAUUGAUACCCAAGUAUGUGGUAUCAUCCAAAACCUAUGUAAAGCAUCAAAACAACAGAAGAAUAAGUGAUUAUUACAUUUUAACAGAUGUGUAGAUAGAACAUGUUAAAAGAGAAAGUAAGCAGAUAUUAACAGUAAAUGAACAAGUACAUUAAUAAUUCAUUUUCUACCACUUGUCCCUCAUAAUAUUGAGAAAAUAAUAGAAUGAUAAAUGACACAGUAUGUUACUGCUUAUGUCAGCAGAUACAAACCCCGUUUCCAUAUGAGUUGGGAAAUUGUAUUGGAUGUAAAUAUAAAUGGAAUACAAUGAUUUGCAAAUAAUUUUCAACCCAUAUUCAGUUGAAUUUGCUACAAAGUCAACAUAUUUGAAGUUAAAACUGAUAAACUUUUUUUUUUGUCGCAAAUAAUCAUUAACUUUAGAAUUUGAUGCCAGCAACACGUGACAAAGAAGUUGGGAAAGGUAGCAAUAAAUACUGAUAAAGUUGAGGAAUGGUCAUCAAACACUUAUUUGGAACAUCCCACAGAAUUGCAGGCUAUUUGGGAACAUGUGGGUGCCAUGACUGAAUAUAAAAGCAGCUUCCAUGAAAUGCUCAGUAAUUCACAAACAAGGAUGGGGCGAGGGUCACCCCUUUGUAAGCAAAUUUUAGAACAACAUUUCUCAAUGAGCUAUUGCAAGGAAUUUAGGGAUUUUACCAUCUACGGUCCGUAAAAUCAUCAAAAGGUUCAGAGAAUCUGGAGAAAUCACUACACGUAAGCGAUGAUAUUACGGAUCUUUGAUCCGUCAGGCGGUACUGCAUCAAAAACCGACACCAGUGUGUAAAGGAUAUCACCACAUGGGCUCAGUAACACUUCAAAAAACCACUGUCAGUAACUACAGUGGGUCGCUACAUCUGUAAGUGCAAGUUAAAACUCUACUAUGCAAAGCUAAAGCCAUUUAUCAACAACACCCAGGAACGCCGCCAGCUUCGCUGGGCCCGAGCUCAUCUAAGAUGGACUGAUGCAAAGUGGAAAAGUGUUCUGUGGUCUGACGAGUCCACAUUUCAAAUUAUAUUUGGAAACUGUGGACUUGGUGUCCUCCGGAACAAAGAGGAAAAUAACCAUCCGGAUUGUUAUAGGCGCAAAGUUCAAAAGCCAGCAUCUGUGAUGGUAUGGGGGUGUAUUAGUGCCCAAAGCAUGGGUAACUUACACAUCUGUGAAGGCACCAUAAAUGCUGAAUGGUCCAUACAGGUUUUGGAGCAACAUAUGUUGUCAUCCAAGCAAAGUUAUCAUGGAAGCCCCGUGUUACAACAGCGUGGCUUGGUAGUAAAAUAGUGCGGGUACUUUCCUGUCCCGCCUGCAGUCAAAACCUGUCUCCCAUCGAAAAUGUGUGGCGCAUUCUGAAGCGUAAAAUACGACAGGGGAGACCCCGGACUGUUGAACGACUGAAGAAUUCCACUUUGUUUGUAAAUUAGUAGCCUUUGUUUGUUUUCAUACUAAUAAAAGACAAGUUGUCUACUAAGUUCACUAUUUUAUUUAAGG